CUCUCAUCAGUGGCUGCCUGACAGGACCUCACGAAAGAGGAGACACACACCUUUCCUGGAAAGGGAUUCCGACUGGACGAAUAACAUUUAGCAACUUUUAACAGCGCGCUUGGCUCUUGAGAAACAGCAUCAUUUUAGAGGCAUACAACUAGCGGUUGCUUCACACGGAACGAGGCAGUGAACACAGCCACCAUCCAACAUCUUCACCUCGGAGCCAAGCACGCAGAAAAGGAAGGAUACAUACUCUAAUGUCGGCAAGGGGUCCUCCUGAAAAUAGGGAUCCUGCAGAGCCUGCUCUGAGGUAAUUCU